GUGGGGAAUAUUGGACAAUGGGCGAAAGCCUGAUCCAGCCAUGCCGCGUGUGUGAAGAAGGUCUUCGGAUUGUAAAGCACUUUAAGUUGGGAGGAAGGGCAGUAAGUUAAUACCUUGCUGUUUUGACGUUACCGACAGAAUAAGCACCGGCUAACUUCGUGCCAGCAGCCGCGGUAAUACGAAGGGUGCAAGCGUUAAUCGGAAUUACUGGGCGUAAAGCGCGCGUAGGUGGUUUUGUAAGUUGGAGGUGAAAUCCCCGGGCUCAACCUGGGAACUGCCUCCAAAACUGCAUGACUAGAGUACGGUAGAGGGUAGUGGAAUUUCCUGUGUAGCGGUGAAAUGCGUAGAUAUAGGAAGGAACACCAGUGGCGAAGGCGACUACCUGGACUGAUACUGACACUGAGGUGCGAAAGCGUGGGGAGCAAACAGGAUUAGAAACACCAGUAGUCC
rnacentral:rRNA from 1 species